AAGGAAUACACAUUUGAAAUCAAACUGGGCAUGAACACUGAAAAACUAAAGGCGGUGGCAAUGGUGUACCUCUUACGUGUGCAAGCGGACCAGAAGUGUAAACUAGGACAGUAUCACGCAAUGGACAAUUGCACACCUGUUGCUUGUCCUGCGAAGUUCGUUUGGAAAGACAAGAUUCACAUGUGUGAUGAAGCAGUAUCGGAUAAUAAGAUGCAAGUUGACCUCUUGGUAAUACUCGACACCUCCGCAAAUACCGGGC